CGAGCAAGUCGCGUACGAUGUACUCAUCCGCCCACCCCUCUUUCCCUAUUAUUAGCCUCGCUUAAGCUUUAAUCGUGUCCUUGCAUACCACACACACACACACACACACACACACACUUGGCAUCCACAACAAGCACGCAUACAUACAUUGGCGUGGUUGUGAUUGCUCCCGUGGUGGUCGCUGUCCCCCUUCCCUCUCGCUCUGUUGUCAGCCAGCACGUGCGUGUGUGAGUGCCACCGUGUUGUCGUUGGGUCUUCUGCUGUCUGCAUCUUCUUUUCCGCUUGUUUUUCGUUUUCAGGUCUCCUUGCCGCUUAGCGGUGCGCACAGGGGCACACAUCCACACCCACGCGUACACACACGCACAAAGGAUGAAGAAGAUAUUCCAUAUACCCACCGGCAACUCUGCCGAGGAUGAGCAGAGCAGCAAACGCCACGCGAAGCGAUACCGCGUUUACUUCACGAUUCUAGCCGUCUGGGUCUCUCUGUUGCUUAUCCUGGUCACCAUUCUCACGCCAAUCCUUGUCCUGCAACGCCAGGAUAACGAACUCGAGCGCAUGCACCGGGAAGAGGAGAAGCAGGAGGCGAUGGCCUACGCCACGACUUUUCGUGACGCCAUCCUUGGAGCCAUCUCGGCCGUGUACGGGGUGGAGGGGUACAUCAUGGGGUUGAUGAAGUCGCUGCCGAAUCUCAACGAGACCCCUGCCCAGCGCGUGGCUGGCCAGUAUUUUCCAAAGUUCUAUGGCUAUGCCGAGCUGGUGUCCUCCUCGUCGCCCCACAUCAGUCUCUUCGCGACCGCGCCCGGCGGCGUUGUACUGCAGGUUUACCCAUCUGAGGAUGAGAAGUUCAUGGAAAACUGGGACCUGCUCAACAGCUCUUGCGAGAACCACACGGACCCGGCUGCAGCGUAUCGGGAGGACCCCUUCACCACCAUUAAGAACGGCUUACUCGCCCUGACGGGGCCGUAUAAAAGCCCGGGCUUGCCGAUACGAGGCUGGGACAGCAGCUCAGGCGAGGCACAUAACAUGUGGUGGGUCGACCUCCGCCAGCCGAUCUACAACGCGACCUCGACGGCAUUGAUUACAAACUCGACGUUUUGGGGCUUCGCGAUCGUCUUCUUCAGUGUGGAUGGGCUCAUUCGAAAGAAAGGCUUGCCGGAGAAAAUGAACAGCUUGGAAAUGGCGUACAUCAUCUACACGGCGAGCAUCAACGGCUCAGAUGGCUGCACGGUGAUCCUCGCAUCAUCGAUGUUCAAGGGCGAGACAGACUGCAGUAAGCCGUUUAUGAAGAAAUUCCUCGACGAUGCGACGACCCGCGACGUCCUCAAGGAGAAGCUCUCAUGGAAGAUCGCCUUGAAGAGCAUGAAGCGUGUGAACCGCUUUACGCCCCGCGUGCGCAACGCGAUCGUCAUCACGUCCGUCAUCGGUGUUUCUCUGUUGUUUGCCCUGUUCAUGUACGUCAUUGUGCGAUGCACGCGGGUUUACGACGGCGCGAAGCACGCGCCCAAGAUGGCACCCUUCGCCAUGCUCACCAUCGGCCCCUGCCGCGGCGAGGAGCUCUGGGACCUUGCGUCGGAUCAGAUGGUAGAGGUGACGGAGCGUCUUGGCCAUGUCUUGGCUCGGCAGAUGGUACGCUAUCACGCCUACCAGAUCCAGCAGGUGCACCCGCUCACCACAUCGUACGUCACGCGCAGCGUCGCCGCUGCUGUGCAGAUGGCCUUCAGCACCAUCGAGGAGCUCUACAGCUUCCCAAUCGACGAACCGCUGCGCCGCCUGCUCGGCGACGAAGGCAGUCUUCUGCUGUGCUACGCCGUGCACUGGUGCACCGACGCCGCCGUGCGCAUGGAAGCGAUCGGUGGUGGCCUCCGCUACGAGGGUCCCGACGUCGUGUACGGGGGCCGCAUGUGGGUGUUUGCUGGUCCGAACGUGGUCACUGUGUCGCAGGCGGCGCUGCCGAGCACGACGUGCAUGCCACAUGUAAAGAGCAAGCUGUUCGAUUCGGUGUUCCUGCGCGGUGUCACGACGCGCCAGGACCUCUACGUCGUCACGGAUACUUCGAACCAUUCUCUGAAGGAGGCGGAGGCCUUCGCGGCGGAUCAGUUGCGUCGUUCACGUCAAGCGCAGCUGCGGUACGUUGCUGACAAGGAGGCGGAUCUGGGCAGCACCGGCUACACGCGGUGCGACCGGCUGCUCACCUCCUACCCGCGGACGGGGUACGAUAGCAGUGACUUGGACAGCAGCUUCUUCGCGCGCGAGGCCUCCGCGUAUAGCGAGGGCGCCACCUCUGGCAGUGGCAAUGACAGCAACCCCAUCUCCGUCGUGAACAGCAGCGGUGGGGGUCAGGUGGCUUCUGGCGCUGCAAGAAGGGGCGCUCGCAAGGAUGGUGUGGCGGGGGUGAGCGGCGUGCCCACCGCCAUCGUCGUGCCAGCCUCCACGCCUGACAACGCACUGGUCGUCGCAGGCGCGGACGUGUCGGAAUCGGCGUCGACGCUGUCGCGCGCGGUGCCGCAGCGGCGCAUGGGUUGCCGUCCGCCUCGGGAUCUCGCAGCAGCCAAUGUCGUUUCGGGGUCGUCGAGAUCGUCCUCGAGCGCGGCGAGCGUGGGGUCUGAAAAAGAGGAAACGUCGCCGGGGGAGCCGCCGACGCCACUCCUGCAGCCCGUUUCACCGGAGGUAUCGGUCACCGCAGCGACCGGCACUGUCCGGCCACGGCGCGGGCAGGACAACGCCCACACCGCACCAGGCGCGACCACGAGUGGGAGCAACAGCAUCGGCUUCAGGGACAGCUGCAGCGGCAUCCCUGCAACAAGCAGUGUGCGCCACCACGACCUGCUCCUUACCAAUCCACUUGUUGUCGUCCCGCCGGCGGUCACGGUGGCUGCAACAGCGCACGGACUGUGCGGCGGCGGCGGCUCGGCUUCCACCACACCCAUCUCCGGCGAGUCGACUGGCGGGCGACACAGCAACUUUCCGACCUGCGGCGACAACCCACUCGCACACGGCACGACCGCCGCCGCCGCCGCGAAGGUUGACGCACUCUCUGGAGGCAUCACUGGUCUGGCUUCGAAUGGCGGCCGAGGCGCCGUCGGCGGCACACCGGCGGCCUGUAGGCCAGGCAACAGCGAAGGUAACGCUGCGCUGCAGGGUAGCGGGCCGGCGCUGGACAAUUUCAGCGACCUGCUACUGCGCCCUGCAAUCUCAACCCAGUCAGACCUGCUGCUACGCGCGGUGUUCGAUCGGCAGGCUGUCGCGCUCGACCUGAGCUACGACUCUGUGCGGGUGCUGGUCUACUACUUCUACUCCAGCUACAAAAUCCUGUUCCGCCCGCUGGCCGCGCCGGAGCUGCACAACAUCUACCGUCGGCUGAUGACAGCCUUUGGUGUGCCGCAGCAGGGCAUCCUCGAGCACCUGGCCGCGCGCUGCGCCACUCGCUUCCUUCAACGGCAUGAGGAGACGCAGACUCUCUUGUGGGAUCAGCAGCACCGAUUGCAGAUGCACAUCCGGUCUGCUAGUGCGACCGCAGCCACAGCAACGUCCGUCUCUGACGACGGCGUGACAAGCACCUCCGGCUAAACGGCAACUAGGAAUACGAAAGACAACAAGCCGGCGCGCACGGGUGGACAGGAAGAGGGGCAAAGAACCAGCGGCGGGGUGUGAUUCGUCGCAGCUGUGGUUGAUGCGUCGUCUCCGUCGCUCGCCUCGCUCCGCCCCCACCCCACCUAACACGCACACCCACACACCCUCACACCGCCCUCGCUCACCUCCUCCUCCCCCCACCUCCCUUCAUCAUCCCUCAUCAUUUUAUGUCCGCUAUGUGCGUGUGUCUGCUGCUGCUCGCUUUCCUUCCCCCUCCCUCCCUCUCCUCCCCUCCCCGAUCUCUCUACCCCCGCUUCUUCAUCUUCCUCAUCCGACUCUUUCUUUGUUGCACAAGUGUAUAGCCGGCCCCACUCCCCCUCCUCGUUGCCGUUCGCGACGCCGGCUGCGGCUGCUGUCGCUCGUGUUUCGACCCGGCGGAGGCGAUCAUGCGAUGACUGUUGUCAGUAUUUUCCGUGUAUAUGUAUGUGUGCGAGUGUGCGAGUGUGUGUAUGUUUAUCGGCGGGGCAUGUAGCGGCGUAGGCGAGUCUGUGUGCGUCUCGACUUCGUGUUCGGCCCCCUCGCCUCCCCCCCCUCCCCAUCUUGCUGCGUUUGCGUGCGUCUGUGUGGGCGAGUCAGUGGGGCAUGCCGAAGGGCGCUCGCCCCCCCCCCCGCCCCCUCUCUGUGCACUUUAUUCGCAGAGCGCCCUUCGGCAGCGUUUCCACCGAAGACGGAUGCAGAGCCCCUUCCCGAGUCGCCUCUCUCUCUCACGCACGCACAC
rnacentral:misc_RNA from 1 species